rnacentral:rRNA from 1 species
GCAGCAGCCGCGGUAAUACGAAGGGUGCAAGCGUUAAUCGGAAUUACUGGGCGUAAAGCGUGCGUAGGCGGUUUGUUAAGUCUGUUGUGAAAUCCCCGGGCUCAACCUGGGAAUGGCAAUGGAUACUGGCAAGCUAGAGUGUGUCAGAGGAUGGUGGAAUUCCCGGUGUAGCGGUGAAAUGCGUAGAGAUCGGGAGGAACAUCAGUGGCGAAGGCGGCCAUCUGGGACAACACUGACGCUGAGGCACGAAAGCGUGGGGAGCAAACAGGAUUAGAUACCCCUGUAGUCCCUGUCUCUUAUAC